GACGGGGCCCGCACAAGCGGUGGAGCAUGUGGUUUAAUUCGACGCAACGCGAAGAACCUUACCAGGGCUUGACAUGCUUGAAGUAGAAACUCGAAAGAGGGACGACCUGUAUCCAAUCAGGAGCUUGCACAGGUGCUGCAUGGCUGUCGUCAGCUCGUGCCGUGAGGUGUUAGGUUAAGUCCUGCAACGAGCGCAACCCUCGUCGCUAGUAAUUUUCUAGCGAUACUGCCCGUAUAACGCGGAGGAAGGUGGGGAUGACGUCAAGUCAGCAUGGCCCUUACGUCCUGGGCUACACACACGCUACAAUGGGUGAUACAAAAGGUUGCAAUAGAGUGAUCUGGAGCUAAUCCUGAAAAUCAUCCUCAGUUCGGAUUGUAGGCUGAAACUGCCUGCAUGAAGUUGGAGUUGCUAGUAACCGCAGGUCAGCACACUGCGGUGAAUACGUUCUCGGGCCUU
rnacentral:rRNA from 1 species